rnacentral:rRNA from 1 species
UUAAAUUGAAGAGUUUGAUCAUGGCUCAGAUUGAACGCUGGCGGCAGGCCUAACACAUGCAAGUCGAACGGUAACAGAAAGCAGCUUGCUGCUUUGCUGACGAGUGGCGGACGGGUGAGUAAUGUCUGGGAAACUGCCUGAUGGAGGGGGAUAACUACUGGAAACGGUAGCUAAUACCGCAUAACGUCGCAAGACCAAAGAGGGGGACCUUCGGGCCUCUUGCCAUCGGAUGUGCCCAGAUGGGAUUAGCU